rnacentral:lncRNA from 1 species
CACCAACAAGGGGGCGUGGACCAAGGAGGAGGACGACCAGCUCAUCGCCUACAUCCGCGCUCACGGGGAGGGGUGCUGGCGCUCGCUGCCCAAGGCCGCCGGCCUCCUCCGCUGCGGCAAGAGCUGCCGACUCCGCUGGAUCAACUACCUCCGCCCCGACCUCAAGCGCGGCAACUUCACGGAGGAGGAGGACGAGCUCAUCAUCAAGCUCCACAGCCUCCUCGGCAACAAGUAAGCCUCCUCCCGCCACGUCCACCACGCGAGAAUACCACCUGAACGCCUUCCUCGUGUCGACUGCAGGUGGUCACUGAUCGCUGCGCGGCUUCCCGGGAGGACGGACAACGAGAUCAAGAACUACUGGAACACCCACAUCAGGAGGAAGCUGCUGAGCAGGGGAGUGGAUCCCGUCACUCACCGCCCGAUCAACGGCCAUGGUUCCGAUACAGCCACCCAUUUCGAGAGGAAGCCUGCUGCGAUUGGCUUCGGACCAGACCAGGAGUCGGACAAGAUCAGUAGCAGCGAGGAGUCGUCGGCGUGGCAGCAGCGGCAGCCCAAGUGGCCGGACCUCAAUCUGGAGCUAUGUAUAAGCCCUCCUUCCCAACAGCAACAACCUUUAGAGCCCGUUGAUGGAGGGGGAGAGCAACCGCAAAGCCUGUGCUUUAGCUGCGGCGCUGCCGUGGGGUCGCAGAAGCGCCACAAGGAGUGCAAGUGCAGAGACCUCAUUGGCCUCAGCACUGGAAUGCUGGACUACAGAAACCCAUAGAACUCCCAGAGAAGAGAAUGUACUCAAAGAAUCCUCCAUUUCUUGGUGUGUGUGUGUGUGUGUGUGUCUGCGCGCGCGCAUGUAUAUCUACAGGUAUACUAGGCAGGUUUCUACCAUGGUGGCAUUGUCGUGGAUGCCUGUCAUCUCUUUGUCGAUGAAUGAAGCUAUUAUAUAUUGGCAUCUCAACUCUUGUUUUAGGCUCUUUCCAAAGAUCCUACCUUUCGUUUCUUGAGAUAUGAGAUCAACAAGCGUAUAAAGUAGGAU